rnacentral:misc_RNA from 1 species
AUGAAAUACAAGGACGCUCUUUUUAGAGGUCCGAAAUAUUACAUUUCCUUUCACCCUGUGCACAAACUGUUUUUACACCUUUUUAAACUCAUAAGUUAAGAAUGUAACAGUCUCUUAAAUGAGCAUAAAUUAUUA